UGGAUCACUGAUGAUAUCUUGGCUCCCUCUACUGAACUCUAUGUGGAAGCCUGCCAUUGUUACCCAAUUUCUGUCUGAGAUGUG
ensembl:snoRNA